rnacentral:rRNA from 1 species
AAUGAACGCUGGCGGCGUGCCUAACACAUGCAGGUCGAGCGAGAAAGUUCCUUCGGGAAUGAGUAAAGCGGCGGACGGUUGAGUAACACGUGAGAAUCUACCCUUUAGUGAAGAAUACCUUCGAGAAAUCGAAAUUAAUACUGCAUAAGUCCCUUCGGGGAGAAAGUGGCCUCUUUGCUACUGCUAAAAGGAUGAGCUUGCGGACUCUCAGCUAGUUGGUGAGGUAAAGGCUCACCAAGGCUAUGACGGUUAGCCGGCCUGAGAGGGUGAACGGCCAGACUGGAACUUAGACACGGUCCAGACUCCUACGGGAGGCAGCAGUGAGGAAUAUUGCGCAAUGGGCGAAAGCCUGACGCAGCGACGCCGCGUGGAGGAUGAAGGUUUUCGGAUCGUAAACUCCUGUUAAGUGGGAAGAAAAGUCUGUGGUUAAUACCCCGGCAGGAAAAUGACGGUACCAUUAUAGAAAGCAACCGGCUAACUACGUGCCAGCAGCCGCGGUAAU